rnacentral:rRNA from 1 species
AUUUUUUAAAUUAAAAAAAUUAAUUGAGAUUAUAAUUAAAUAGAAUUUAUUAUUAAAAGUAUUAAAUAAAGAAUAAUAAUUUUAAUAGAAUUGUACUGAGAAGGAAUUAUUGAAAAAUAUGAAAAAAUAUAAAAAAGAAGAAAGGAUUAAUUUUUAAAAGUACCUUUUGCAUUAGGGUUGUUUAAAAAGAAAUAAAAAUUUAUUUUUCCCGAAGUAAUUGUUGAGUUAUUUUGAAUUAUAUAUAAAUUGUUAUAUAAAUUUAUAUAAAUUUAAUAUAGAAAUGAAAUUUUUUUCAAAAAUUAAGAUAUCUGGUUAUAAAUAAUAAAACUAAAUGUUUUUCUAUAAGUGAGAAUAAAAAGAUACUUUAUUUAUAGAAAAUUAAAUUAGGGAUUAGCUUGAUUUAAAUAUUUAUAUUUGGUUUUAUGAAAUUAUUAGAGGAAUAAAAUUUUCUGAUUUUUUUUAUAAAAGUGUUAUUAAAAAAAUUAAAUAAAAUUUUAAUAUUAAAUUGAUUUUUAUAAUAUAUUUAAUUAAAAUUAUAAUUAAAUAUGAGUAAAUGAGUAUAAAUUUUUAAAAUUUUAAAAUUUUAAAAAAUGAAUAUAUAAAUAUAAUUAAUAAAAAGGAAUUAGGCAAAAUAAUAAGUUGACUGUUUAUCAAAAACAUUUCAUUUUGUUAUUAUAAAAUGUAUGAUCUGCUCAAUGAGAAAUUUAAUUGCUGUGGUAUUUUGACUAUACGAAGGUAUUGAAAUAAGACUUUAAAUGAGUGCUAAGAGAAUGGUUGAACAAUUUAUAACUGUCUUUUUAUUAAUAAAUGGAAAUUGAUUUUUUUGUGCAAAAGCAAAAAUAUAGUUAAGGGACAAGAAGACCCUAUGAAUUUUUUAUCUUUCUAUUUUUUUUAUAAAAAAAAUAGAAAGAUUUGGUUGGGGCGACUAAAAAAGAAUAAGAAUCUUUUUUAAUUUUAGAAAAUUGAUCCAUUUAUUAAUGAUUAAUUGAUUAAAAUACUCUAGGGAUAACAGCGUUAUAAUUUUGAAUAGUACGUAUUGAUAAAAUUGAUUGCGACCUCGAUGUUGGAUUAGGGUUCUUUCUUUAAUGAAGAAGUUAAGAGAAGAAGUUUGUUCAACUUUUAAAUUCCUACAUGAUCUGAGUUCAGACCGGCGAGAGCCAGGUUGGUUUCUAUCUUUAAUUUAAAUUUCUUUAAUUAGUACGAAAGGAAUAUUAAAGGUUAAUAGUUAACUACAAAGUUUUAUAAGAUUUUUUAUAAAAAUUUUAUAUUUGGUAUAUAUAUAUAUAUAUAUGAAUUGUUUCAAUUAAAGAAAUUUAAAUUAAAGAUAGAAACCAACCUGGCUCUCGCCGGUCUGAACUCAGAUCAUGUAGGAAUUUAAAAG